rnacentral:misc_RNA from 1 species
CAAGUUUUAGCUGUUUAUUUAUUUAUGAAUUGUUGAUUUAUUUGCUUGUUUAUUUAUUUAAUGUUUUGUUGAAUGAACUAAGAUUGGGAUAAUAAUUAAAAGAAGUAUAGAAUGAACAGUGCCCAUGAACUUGUGCUAGAAGAAGUUUUUGCAAUGGAGUAGCUAAUGUGAUUUGAAGGUCGUUUUCUGAUAGGAAAUGGACUGACGAAUAAAGAAAUAUGCGCAACAAGAAAUGGAAGGAGGGGAAAAAAGGGGAUAGGAGAACUAGCUUGUUUAGUUUUAAUUGGGUGCAAUUUUAGUAGAUAAAUAAGAUUGAAGAGAAGUGAAGUUGAAUGUGAAUUGUUGGCCCAAAGUAGAAAUUGUAUAUUCUAAAGAAUGAGCAAUUAAAGUUAAAUUGCUGUUCUUAGUAACUAGCUUUUCCAGAUUGCAACUAACGGGUGCUAAUGAUGACAAUUUUGAUUUUAAAGGAAAUGAGAUAUAAUUGGCCACAUCAGUCUAUUGGGUUUUAUUGUCCAGCUAAGUUCCUUUGCAUUCCAUAGACAUUUAAGUCAUUGGUUGGGUAUAUCCAAUGACAUCGGCACACUUUUUAUUCAAUUUUCUUUUAGUGUUUGCUCAAGUGAGUUACUAUUCAAUGCAAUUAAUGAUCUGAAGUUCGCUACUACUUUAUUGGAACCAUGGUCAAAUUGUAGUGUGGGCGUGACAUGUAUCAAUGAUUAUUUUAUCCU